UACGUAGGGUCCGAGCGUUGUCCGGAGUUACUGGGCGUAAAGGGCGCGCAGGCGGCGGUGCUGGCCCGGCGUGAAAGCCCCCGGCUCAACCGGGGAGGGUCGUCGGGGACCGCACCGCUUGAGGGCGGUAGGGGCCGGUGGAAUGCCGGUGUAGUGGUGAAAUGCGUAGAGAUCAGGCAGAACACCUGGGGCGAAGGCGGCCGGCUGGGCCGACCCUGACGCUGAGGCGCGAAGGCGUGGGGAGCGAACGGG
rnacentral:rRNA from 1 species